GACGAACGCUGGCGGCGUGCUUAACACAUGCAAGUCGAGCGGUAAGGCCCUUUCGGGGGUACACGAGGCGGCGAACGGGUGAGUAACACGUGGGUGACCUGCCUUUAGCACUGGGAUAAGCCUGGGAAACCGGGUCUAAUACCGGAUAUGACUCCGCGGCGCAUGUUGUGGGGUGGAAAGCCUUGUGCGGCUGGAGAUGGGCCCGCGGCCUAUCAG
rnacentral:rRNA from 1 species